rnacentral:tRNA from 1 species
CCUACGGGCGUGUCCUCGCGACGGCCCGGCUGCUGACCGGGGCGCUGAGCCCGUCGGAGCGGGCGGCCGUGUUCGGCGGCACGGCCGUGGAC